CCCUUAGAUGUCCUGGGCCGCACGCGCGCUACACUGAUGCAUUCAACGAGUCUAAAACCUGGUCUGAUAGGGCUGGGUAAUCUUUUGAAAGUGCAUCGUGAUUGGGAUAGAUGAUUGCAAUUCUUCAUCUUCAACGAGGAAUGCCUAGUAAACGCAAGUCAUCAGCUUGCAUUGAUUACGUCCCUGCCCUUUGUACACACCGCCCGUCGCUCCUACCGAUUGAAUGAUCCGAUGAAUACCAUGGAUUGAGAGUACGAAUGGGUUCGCUCAUUUCUGCUGCUCGAGAAGUGGAGUAAAUCUUAUCAUUUAGAGGAAGGAGAAGUCGUAACA
rnacentral:rRNA from 1 species